UGCUAGUCGGACGAGUUUAGACUCGUGGCAGAUAGCUCAGUAACACGUGGCCAAGCUACCCUUCAGUCGGCAAUACCCUCGGGAAACUGAGGUUAACGGCCGAUGUGGGACGCCUGCUGGAAUGCGGCGUUCUCUAAAGGCGACGCUGAAGGAUGCGGCUGCGGCCGAUUAGGUUGACGGUGGGGUAACGGCCCACCGUGCCAGUAAUCGGUACGGGUGAUGAGAGUCAGAGCCCGGAGACGGAAUCUGAGACAAGAUUCCGGGCCCUACGGGGCGCAGCAGGCGCGAAACCUUUACACUGCACGGAAGUGCGAUAGGGGAAUCCCAAGUGCGAGGGCAUAUUCGCCCUCGCUUUUGUUGACCGUAAGGUGGUCAACGAAUAAGAGCUGGGCAAGACCGGUGCCAGCCGCCGCGGUAAUACCGGCAGCUCGAGUGAUGUCCAAUAUUAUUGGGCCUAAAGCGUCCGUAGCUGGCCGCGCAAGUCCGUCGGGAAAUCCACCUGCCCAACAGGUGGGCGUCCGGCGGAAACUGUGUGGCUUGGAACCGGAAGGCUCAGAGGGUACGUCCGGGGUAGGAGUGAAAUCCCGUAAUCCCGGACGGACCACCGAUGGCGAAAGCACUCUGAGAAGACGGCUUCGACAGUGAGGGACGAAAGCUAGGGUCUCAAACCGGAUUAGAUACCCGGGUAGUCCUAGCUGUAAACGAUGCUCGUUAGGUGUGGCACCCACUACGAGUGGGUGCUGU
rnacentral:rRNA from 1 species